rnacentral:rRNA from 1 species
GGAUUCGUGACUGGGGUGAAGUCGUAACAAGGUAGCCGUAUCGGAAGGUGCGGCUGGAUCACCUCCUUU